rnacentral:lncRNA from 1 species
AGUUGAGUAACCUUUACUGUUUAAGGCACUGUUUACACACGUGCCAGUCUGUUCUUCAACAGAGCUUCUGGCUAGAAAGAUGUGCCCAGGUCAUGAGCCCUGUUGGCUGCCAGGGGGGGACCCUGAACCACACUCAGCCAUUCUCCUCAGAACACCCGCUUCCUCAUUCUUCCACUUCCUGUUCUCCUUGCCUGUUUGCUCGUGACUCCAGUCCCUUCCUUUCCUGUGUUCCUGACUGAGCCUUCAGUAUGCCCGUGCCCAUGGUCAGUGCAUGCUUGGCUUUGUCUCGGUCUUUCACCUUGGGUCUGCUCUGUGACUCUUCAUCACAUCUGUCCCUUCUAUUCUGGGGUUCUGCAAGUGGUCUUCAGCAUGUAACUCCCUUGAGCUCAGGCUAGCCUGGAACCCCCAGUCUCUAUUACCUGCCCAUCAGGAGCUCCCUUGCACCAAGUCUUUGUUUUCUUCAGGGGUAGGACUUCGGUGAUCUGAUUCCCUUUCUUUACCUUGGAUUUUACAUAAAGGCCUGUUUCUGUGUGAUUUGUUGUUGUUGUCCUUUGUUUGUUUUUGCAGUACUGGGGAUUAAGCCCGGGACUUUCACCCUGAGCUACAUCCCGAGUGGUUUAAAUUUUUUUUUUUUACUGGGAGGCAUGUUUUCCUUAAGUCACUGAGUUGCCCAGGCUGGUCUCACACUUGAAAUCUUCCUGCCCCAAUCUUCCAGAGUGCUGAGAUUACAGGCCUGCACUACCAUGCCUGUCUGAAGUCCUGAAUUUCUUUGAGAGAGAAAGAAAUUUUGCUGGGAUUUAAAAUAUGAAUAAAAAAUCUGAUAAAACUACAAAAAAGAGAGAAAAGACAAAAAGGACUGUUGUAAAAAUAAGACGCUUUGAAGAAUAUGAAGCAGAUGUUGUGCUGGAAGCUAGUAUGUUCUAUAGUACCACCUGUGCCCACUUAAUUCCAUCAAAAUAAUUUCCCCCAGUAACCAUGAAGAAAGAUUUAAGAAUAUAUGGUGGGGGCAGGGAAAGAAAGCGAGAAUAAAGGCGGUAGCUCAGAUGUGGAGUUCAUCUGCAAAUGGGGAUAACAAUUUACAGCCAGUGGAUGCUUCUGGUCUGUGAUUUAAGGUAUGGUUUCUUUGUCCUGGAGCUUGACUUGUUAGUCAGAUCACCAUGCAAAACUAUUCCACAUGUGUAUGUCUUAAGUGAGAAUUUAUAUGUGCUACUGCUUGUCUAUCUGCCCAUCUACCCAUCUAUCUACCUACCUUCCUACUUAUCUAUAUGAUUUGGUUAACAAUAUGGUAUAGUAGAAGGACAACUUUUUAAAUGAAAAUAGUCAAUGACAAUUUCUUUGUUCUUCCAGCAACUACCUUUCUCUCUUUUCUUUUCUUUUCUUUUCCAUAUAUUUCAUAGUAUUUCCAUGGUUCUCAGUCCAUCUCAGAUGAUAUUGCUUAACCCUUUCCUUGAAGGAAUUUGCUUAUUUUCUGGUGCAACUCUUACGUUAUUAUUCCAAGUGAAGUGCACUGCCAG